rnacentral:rRNA from 1 species
AUUGGACGCUGGCGCCAUGCCUUACACAUGCAAGUCGAACGGUAACAGGUCUUCGGAUGCUGACGAGUGGCGAACGGGUGAGUAAUACAUCGGAACGUGCCUAGUAGUGGGGGAUAACUACUCGGAAGAGUGGCCAAUACCGCAUGCGAUCUACGGAUGAAAGCAGGGGAUCGCAAGACCUUGUGCUACUAGAGCGGCCGAUGGCAGAUUAGGUAGUUGGGGGGCUAAAAGCUUACCAAGCCGACGAUCUGGAGCUGGUCUGAGAGGACGAUCAGCCACACUGGGAAGAAGACACGGCCAUACUCCUACGAGGGGCAGCAGUGGGGAAUUUUGGGCAAUGGGCGCCAGCCUGAUCCAGCAAAGCCGCGUGAAGGAUGAAGGCGUUCGGGUUGUAAACUGCUUUGGUACGGAACGAAAAGCCCUGGGUUAAUACCCUGGGGUCAUGACGGUACCGUAAGAAUAAGCACCGGCUAACUACGUGCCAGCAGCCGCCGUAAGAC